UGUCACCAUAUAGUAAUUAGCAGUUGGUACAGUAUGUCCUUUCUAUGGAUUAGCCAUUCAGAUUUGCCCUUUUUGUGUUUUCUACUGUGCCUUUUCUUAUAAUGAAUUUCUAUGAACUGUUUAAAAUAAGACCAAUCAAAGGCCAUUGGUUAGACUUUUAAUCUUGUGAUUUUUCUUUUGGACAUGGGACAUUUUAAAACCUGGUAAGGCAGUCAAAGCAUGAUCUUUAGGAUUUCUUCCACUGCUUCUAUGAGUCCUUCUUUAUGGUGACAGCCCCUAAUGUUUUUGCCAACAUUUCCAGCCAGCCUGCUUCCUUUUGGACAGGUUUUUUUUGGACCCUAUGACUUGAUAAAGCUGUGGGACAAGUUCAGCAAUGACUGCGAGCAGAAGUGACUGCACAUCUGGCCUGAGUCUUUGCUUACUGAUAAUACUCUGUCCAAUCUGGUAGCUACUAGCCACAUGUAAUUAUUCACACUUAAUUAAAAUUAAAAUGAGAACUAUCAGCUUUCAUUCUCACUAGCCACAUCUCUAGUGUUCAACAGCCACAUGUGGCUAGUGACCACUGCAGCAGACAGGGCAGCCUGGAUUCUCUUUCUGGCACCACAUGGUAGCUGAUCAGAGACUCUGGGGCCUUAGGAAACUGGGUUGAGCAGUUCUGCUGACCAGUGAUGGAUGUGUAGCAGAACGGAGAAAACACUUUUGUGGCUUUGAAGCAAGAGGAAUUUGGGGGUUACUUGUGCUUUCUUUUUUUAACUAUAGCAUAAAGUGGACUUGCUAGCCUGUUCCAUUCUAUUUAUCAAGUCAAAUCACCAUUAUAUCACAGGUUUUUGGCAGUGCUGGGGAUGGAAUCCAGGACUUUGCACAUGUGAGGCAAAUGCUCUACCAGUUAGACCUAAACCCUACCACAGUUUUAAAUAUUUAAAAAAAAAAAAAACUAUUUUUUUUUUACUAGUAGGGAAAGUUACCAAUUACUCUCUUAAUUUUUGUUUCUUAGCCACGCUUUCCUGUUUAUUCUCCAAGGUGAACUGGGAUCAUUCUGUCUGGAUACACUCUUCUUGCUGGGAUCGUGACUGGAAUUGUGUUUGACCAGGACAUUCAUGUGGGAAAAACUGGUAUUCCGUGAGAGUCACUUUUCCCAUCCAGAACCAUGGUGGACCUCUCCAUUUACUGGGUGCCUGUCCAGCUGAGCCUAUCACGUGUCUGUCUGCUGAGAUGCAUGGUGCCGAGUCAGAAGUGAUGGGAGAAAAAUAAGGACAACAUUGUGACUUAAAAAAGAGCCAUUCUCUAUCUUUCUAUCCCUUCCUCUUUCCUCUUUUGGGGUUGGAAUGGCCUCUUUUUUUUUGGUACUAAAUCCCCUAUUGCCCAAAAAACCAAAAUCACUGAUAGAUUUUUGUGUGUGUGUGUGUGUGUGUAGUGAUUGUUUAUUUUUAAAUAUAUAAGUUGACUGUUUUGAAAAACUUACUGAUCUGUGAAAUCUCAAAAUCUGGAUAAUUUUUUUCCUUUCACAGUGCAGGGGGUUGAACCCAGGACCACACACAUGCUAGGUAGGGGCUCUACCACUGAGCUGCUCUCCAGCCCCAGGAUUAGAGUUUUCAAUAGGUUUGACUUUUAUUAUACAGACUACCUCUGUCUUGUUUGGGAUUUUGCAUUGGAGGUGCUAGAAGGAAUGGGUCUUUGUUCUUGUUUUUCUGUUUUAUAUAGAGUUCUCUGUUAACAUAAAGCCUGAAGUGUCAUGUAGCAACCAUCUACUGAAUACCUUUGAACAAAGCCUUAUCCUCUACUGGAAGCCCACAGUCUAACCAGGGAGUUAGGAAGACAGUUGCUGAUCAUAGCACUGUAAGGAGGAACUGUCAAGGGAGCACAGCUCGAGUUAAUUUAGGAAAACAAGGCAGUUUGCUGAAUGACUGCUGCAAACCCCAAAAGACUUGGGACUUUAGUAAUGUUUUUUUUUUUUUUUUUUUCAUCUCCUUGUAGAACUCUAUGGGCAGUACUGGUGCAGUUUCUGAUAGAUUGCCUAAUUCCAUUCUGCUUUCAUCCACAAAUGACCGAGUUGGGAAGUGAGCAUCCCGUCCCAUCAAUUUUUCAUUUUACUUUGACCCAGGUUCAUAACAUUUAGAAUUGUUUUGAAAGAAAGCUGUUCCCUAUUUUUGUGGUCUGGGGCUAAGGUAUGCUUUCAUAUGUUUUACAUGUAGGAGAUUAGGCUGCAUCUACAUGUGAGACAAAAGAAUGGAGGACAGAAAGAAUUUAGUAAGCCAAUUUCUUUGUGGUAUACUGCUUUCUGCCUGUGCGCUUCUCUACUUGGCCUUUUGGGGAGAGUUUCUGCAUAGUCUCAGAUUACCUCCUGCAUGUUAAUAGACUCCCAAACUACCUGCAACUGCUCAUUGGAUAUAUCUCCUCCUGGACAUUUUCAAGAUCCAACUCCUAAUUCUGCUGGAUUCCCUUCAGGAACACUGUCCAUACUUUGGGGCACUGUGAUUGUCAUUUAUGUGGCUGUUUUCACAAUUGAAUCUUAAGAUCUUAGAAGGCAGAGGCCAAGAUUUCUUGUUCUAUUGUAUCUGCAAUUCUCACUACAGGGCUGGGCCAAAUUAUAGCCAAUCAAAAGUUUCUUUGAACAAAAGAAUACAAUCAUCAGAGGUUACAUCUGUUGACAUUUUCUUCCUGUAAGAAGAAAAUGUCAAAGGACGUAAUUUGGCAAUUUUGUUUUUUUAGUACUAGGGACUGGACCCAGGGGUGCUCUGUUACUGAGUUAUACUCCCAGUUCUUUUUACUUUUUGAGACAGGGUCUCACUGAAUUGCUAAAGUUGGCCCUUAUGAUCCUCCUGCUUCAAGCUCCUGAGUCUCUGGAAUUAUAGGUGUGUGGCGCUGAAGGUGGAUUUUUUUUUUUUUAAACUAUGGAUCUCAUUAAGUUGCCCAGGCUGGUCUCAAAUUUACAGUCCUCCUCCUUCAGCCUCCCAAAUCACUGAAAUAACAAGCAGGUGCCACUGCAUCUGCUUUGACAAUGCUUUCUGAACUUCUGGGGGAGGGGGGGGGGCUGUUCAGUUAUCAGUGGCCACUUUGCUGGGAGUGUUCUGAACCCUAUAACCCAGAGGCUUGAUCCUCUUUAUCCUGAUCUGCUUGGUUCCUAGAAUAAAUAUGUGGUAGAAAACCUACAGAAAUUUUACAGUAUCUUUUUAAAUUUUUUUGGAUAUAUACAGAAUGGUAAGAAAACAAAAAUUUGGCCCUAUUUAGGAAAAAUGUAUGAAGCUGCUUUGGGAACUUUAAAUAAUGCAUAUUCAUAUUUAAUAUGUAUACAUAUAUAUACAGUAUAAAGGGACUUUAUAGUUUCAUGUGACAUUAAGUUUUCACUUAUGGAUUAGUGAGCACUUCUAAAAGAACAAAAUCUGAGAGAUUCAAACCAACAAUGACUACAUUGCUAGAGCGUGGUCCUAAU
rnacentral:lncRNA from 1 species